rnacentral:rRNA from 1 species
AGAGUUUGAUCCUGGCUCAGAAUGAACGUUGGCGGCGUGGAUUAGGCAUGCAAGUCGCACGAGAACCCCGCAAGGGGGGACAGUGGCAAACGGCGUAGUAAGGCGUAGGUGACGUACCCCGAGGACCGGGAUAGCCACGGGAAACUGUGGGUAAUACCGGAUAAUUCCCCUCUUCUUGAAAAAGGAGGGGGCAAAGGUGAGAGUCCGUCUUGGGAGCGGCUUACGUAGUAUUAGCUAGUUGGUGAGGUGACGGCUCACCAAGGCGAUGAUGCUUAGGGGGGUGUUAGCGCAUGACCCCCACGACUGGGACUGAGAUACUGCCCAGACACCUACGGGUGGCUGCAGUCGAGAAUCUUCGGCAAUGGGCGCAAGCCUGACCGAGCGACGCCGCGUGCGGGAUGAAGGCCCUUGGGUUGUAAACCGCUGUCAGAGGGAUGAAAUGUAUGUGGGCACUCCCAUGUAUUUGACAUAGCCUCAGAGGAAGCACGGGCUAAGUUCGUG